UACGUAGGAGGCAAGCGUUGUCCGGAGUACUGGGCGUAAAGCGCACGCAGGCGGUCUUGUCAGUCUGUAGGGACAGGGCACAGCUCAACUGUGUCAGGCUUACGGAAACUGCAAGACUUGAGGGCUUCAGAGGGAUGGGGGAAUUCCGGGUGGAGUGGUGAAAUGCGUAGAGAUCCGGAAGAACACCAAAGGCGAAGGCACCAUCCUGGGGAGUCACUGAGCUCGGGUGCGAAAGCUAGGGGAGCGAACGGG
rnacentral:rRNA from 1 species